rnacentral:rRNA from 1 species
GAUGAACGCUGGCGGCGUGCCUAAUACAUGCCAGUCGAGCGAACAGACGGGGAGCUUGCUCCUCUGACGUUAGCGGCGGACGGGUGAGUAACACGUGGAUAACCUACCUAUAAGACUGGGAUAACUUCGGGAAACCGGAGCUAAUACCGGAUAAUAUAUUGAACCGCAUGGUUCAAUAGUGAAAGACGGUUUUGCUGUCACUUAUAGAUGGAUCCGCGCCGCAUUAGCUAGUUGGUAAGGUAACGGCUUACCAAGGCAACGAUGCGUAGCCGACCUGAGAGGGUGAUCGGCCACACUGGAACUGAGACACGGUCCAGACUCCUACGGGAGGCAGCAGUAGGGAAUCUUCCGCAAUGGGCGAAAGCUUGACGGAGCAACGCCGCGUGAGUGAUGAAGGUCUUCGGAUCGUAAAACUCUGUUAUUAGGGAAGAACAAAUGUGUAAGUAGCUAUGCACGUCUUGACGGUACCUAAUCAGAAAGCCACGGCUAACUACGUG